GGAGAGUAAUCCUUGAUGGUGAUAGGGACUGCCUGCUAAGCAGAUUGCACUCCGUAUGGGUGUCUGGUUCGAUUCCAGUGCUCUCCG
rnacentral:tRNA from 1 species